CAAUAGCGUAUAUUUAAGUUGUUGCAGUUAAAAAGCUCGUAGUCGGAUUUUGGCUGAGAACGAUCGGUCCGCCGUUAGGUGUGCACUGAUUGGUCUCAGCUUCCUGGUGAGGAGGUGUGCUUCACGGCCACUUAGUCACCGUGGUUACUUUGAAAAAAUUAGAGUGUUCAAAGCGGGCUUACGCUUGAAUAUAUUAGCAUGGAAUAACACCAUAGGACUCCUGUCCUAUUUCGUUGGUCACGGGACGGGAGUAAUGAUUAAGAGGAACAGUUGGGGGCAUUCGUAUUUCAUUGUCAGAGGUGAAACUCUUGGAUUUAUGAAAGACGAACUUCUGCGAAAGCAUUUGCCAAGGAUGUUUUCAUUGA
rnacentral:rRNA from 1 species